rnacentral:tRNA from 1 species
GCCGGGGUGGCGGAAUUGGUAGACGCACCAGAUUCAAAAUCUGGCGUAGGCGACUACGUGAGGGUUCGAGUCCCUCCCCCGGCACCA